rnacentral:rRNA from 1 species
UACGUAGGGCGCAAGCGUUGUCCGGAAUUAUUGGGCGUAAAGAGCUCGUAGGCGGUUUGUCGCGUCUGCUGUGAAAACCUAAGGCUCAACCUUGGGCUUGCAGUGGGUACGGGCAGACUAGAGUGCGGUAGGGGUGACUGGAAUUCCUGGUGUAGCGGUGAAAUGCGCAGAUAUCAGGAGGAACACCGGUGGCGAAGGCGGGUCUCUGGGCCGAUACUGACGCUGAGGAGCGAAAGCAUGGGUAGCGAACAGG